CAGUCGCCGCGGUAAUACGUAGGGUGCGAGCGUUGUCCGGAAUUACUGGGCGUAAAGAGCUCGUAGGCGGUUUGUCGCGUCGUCUGUGAAAUUCUGCAGCUUAACUGUAGGCGUGCAGGCGAUACGGGCAGACUUGAGUACUACAGGGGAGACUGGAAUUCCUGGUGUAGCGGUGAAAUGCGCAGAUAUCAGGAGGAACACCGGUGGCGAAGGCGGGUCUCUGGGUAGUAACUGACGCUGAGGAGCGAAAGCGUGGGUAGCGAACAGGAUUAGAUACCCCGGUAGUCCCUGUCUCUUAUAC
rnacentral:rRNA from 1 species